CCAUACUGUGGCUUCCUGGGGGACCCUUCCCCACCAUAACCAUACCCGCCACCUUGUUCCUCUCCGAAGCUAGGUUUCCGACCGUACCCAGAUCCAUAUUCAGAACUCGGUGCUUCGUACUCAGGCCUCCGACCAUACCCAGAUCCAUACUCCGAACUGGGCUGCUCGAACUCGGGCCUCCGACCAUACCCAGAUCCAUACUCCGAACUAGGUUGCUCGUAUUCAGGCUUCCGACCGUACCCAGAUCCAUAUUCCGUGCUAGGCUGUUCGUAUUCAGGCUUCCGACCGUACCCAGAUCCAUAUUCCGAGCUAGGCUGUUCGUAUUCAGGCUUCCGACCGUACCCAGAUCCAUAUUCCGAGCUAGGCUGUUCGUAUUCAGGCUUCCGACCGUAGCCAGAUCCAUAUUCCGAGCUAGGCUGUUCGCAUUCAGGCUUCCGACCGUACCCGGAUCCGUACUCCGAACUGGGUUCCUCGUAAUCAGGCUUCCGCCCAUGCCCAGAUCCAUACUCACCCUCCCCACCAAAACUCGACGGCGGCUUCGGCUGAUACCCAUACUCACCACC
rnacentral:lncRNA from 1 species